rnacentral:rRNA from 1 species
UACGAAGGGUGCAAGCGUCACUCGGAAUUACUGGGCGUAAAGCGUGCGUAGGUGGUUCGUUAAGUCUGAUGUGAAAGCCCUGGGCUCAACCUGGGAAUGGCAUUGGAAACUGGCGACCUAGAGUGCGGUAGAGGGUAGUGGAAUUCCCGGUGUAGCAGUGAAAUGCGUAGAGAUCGGGAGGAACAUCCGUGGCGAAGGCGACUACCUGGACCAGCACUGACACUGAGGCACGAAAGCGUGGGGAGCAAACAGG